rnacentral:lncRNA from 1 species
GACGCCUUCGCCCUCUACAAGGCCCAGCAGGUCACCGCCACCACCGCCCUCCCACCCGGCUACCAGGGCCACAACGACGUCACCGUCUGGUCUCCCUACCUCUACGGCGCCGCCGUCCCUCUCGGCCCCUACCUCGCCGACGCCCUCUCCCAGGACCAGAACGCCGGCUACAUCCUCCUCUACAUCCGCGUCAUCGGCAGCCUCCGGUGGAAGGUCGGCACGUGGAUCUCCG